CCUACGGGAGGCAGCAGUGAGGAAUAUUGGUCAAUGGACGAGAGUCUGAACCAGCGAAGUCGCGUGAAGGAUGACUGCCCUAUGGGUUGUAAACUUCUUUUAUAUGGGAAUAAAACGUUCCACGUGUGGGAUUUUGUAUGUACCCUAUGAAUAAGGAUCGGCUAACUCCGUGCCAGCAGCCGCGGUAAUACGGAGGAUCCGAGCGUUAUCCGGAUUUAUUGGGUUUAAAGGGAGCGUAGGUGGAUUGUUAAGUCAGUUGUGAAAGUUUGCGGCUCAACCGUAAAAUUGCAGUUGAAACUGGCAGUCUUGAGUACAGUAGAGGUGGGCGGAAUUCGUGGUGUAGCGGUGAAAUGCUUAGAUAUCACGAAGAACUCCGAUUGCGAAGGCAGUUCACUGGACUGCAACUGACACUGAGGCUCGAAAGUGUGGGUAUCAAACAGGAUUAGAUACCCGGGUAGUC
rnacentral:rRNA from 1 species